UACGUAGGUGGCAAGCGUUGUCCGGAAUUAUUGGGCGUAAAGCGCGCGCAGGCGGUCCUUUAAGUCUGAUGUGAAAGCCCACGGCUCAACCGUGGAGGGUCAUUGGAAACUGGGGGACUUGAGUGCAGAAGAGGAGAGUGGAAUUCCACGUAGUAGCGGUGAAAUGCGUAGGAGAAUGUGGAGGAACACCAGUGGCGAAGG
rnacentral:rRNA from 1 species